rnacentral:rRNA from 1 species
UACGUAGGGGGCUAGCGUUGUCCGGAUUUAUUGGGCGUAAAGAGCGUGUAGGCGGCCAGGUAGGUCUGCUGUGAAAACUCGAGGCUCAACCUCGAGACGUCGGCGGAAACCAUCUGGCUAGAGUCCGGAAGAGGAGAGUGGAAUUCCUGGUGUAGCGGUGAAAUGCGCAGAUAUCAGGAAGAACACCCGUGGCGAAAGCGGCUCUCUGGAACGGUACUGACGCUGAGACGCGAAAGCGUGGGGAGCGAACAGG